rfam:Ornithorhynchus anatinus chromosome 2, whole genome shotgun sequence.
CCCCUCUCAGGAUCACACCUGGUGUGUUUCUAGUACUCUAUCAGUCUUGGCUACGAGAGGGAGAGUGAAACAGAGGCAUUCCAUUCCUAGCUUGGGCAGUGGUUAGCGAGUGGAAGACAAUCUGCUACAAGU